AGCGAAAUGUACUUAUUUGCGCCUUUCUGAUUGCCGAAUGGAUAUUUCGUUGAUGAAAAGUAAAGAAGUCAGUAAUUCACUCCAUUAUCAACUUUGGUCACACCAGUCAACAGUCAAUUCCAACGUCUCUCAGUCCGACCACCUCCUUCAACUUUAAAAUGUUCGAUUAACGAAGAAGCAAGGAAUAAAUUCGGCAAUCAAAUUUGACAGCACUCAUUCGGAAUCAGUCCAAUCUUUCCAACUGAUUAUUAUUCGACAGGAGAGAGAGUGCACGCGCGCGCGAGAGAGACGAGAGAUCAGAAAAAAUGGGGCAUGGAAGUUCGAAAGAUUCGUCAUCAUCUCGGAGGGGGAAGAUGCGUCAAAAACUCCGGCGAAUUGUUCGCCGUGAAAGUCGUUCUAAGCAUUCUGCUGAUCGUUUUAAGUUGGUUUCCGCCGAUGAUUUCGCCGGAAUUGCUCUCCUUACUCUUAUCUCCGCAAAGAUGACAUUUAAGGACAAAUGGUUGGCCUCUGUUACACUUGGAGAACAGACAUUCUGCACAAACAUCACCGAGAACACAGAAGAGCCUGUUUGGAACUCGGAAAAGAAGCUUCUUUUAGAAAGCAAUGGGUCUCAUACUGCAAGAGUUUCUGUCUAUGAGACCAACUUGUUGAAGAAGAACAAUCUCAUAGGUUAUUGUGAAAUUGACCUACUUCUAUUUCUAACUCAGGAUUCAGAUUCUGAUAUAGUCGAAGUUGAUCUCUUAGAUCCAUCAGCAACUGACAUUGUUGGCAAACUGUCUUUCUCAUGUUUUGUUGAGGAUCCAGAAGAAACAGAAAAAGAUUUUGCAAGGCGUAUUUUAUCUAUUGUGGAUUAUAAUGAAGAUGGCCUGCUUUCUUUCUCGGAAUUCUCCGAUUUAAUUAAUGCAUUUGGGAAUCAAGUGGCAGCUGACAAGAAAGAAGAACUCUUCAAGUAUGCAGAUAUUAAUGGGGAUGGUGCUGUUAGCAUUGAGGAAUUGGCUGCCCUCCUUGCUCGUCAUCAAGAAAAGGAACCACUCAUAAACACCUGUCCCGUUUGUGGUGAAUCGCUUGAUGCUUCCAAUCGGGUGGGUAGCAUGGUUCAUAUGACCUUGUGUUUCAAUGAAGGAGCAAGAAACAAUGUCAUGAGCGGGAGCUUCUUAACAGAUAAGCAGGCUUCAUAUGGAUGGCUACUCAAGCUGAGUGAGUGGGCACACUACUCAUCUGAGGGCACUGGCUCGCAAUUGGCCACAAAGACGAGACAUAUUCUGGUUUUUGAUCGUAUGACAAAGAGGUUGGUGGAAGAAAUAAUUGAUGGAAAGAUUGUUUUGGCGAUGAGAGCCUUGUACCAAAAUAAGCCGGGAGUAUACUUUCUUGAAAAAGGAGGCAAGGAAAUUAUGCAGAAACUCUCUGAAAAACAAGGGGACAAAAUGAAUUCGGUUGAUUCGAUAAAAGAGAUCCCAAAAUUUAUUGAUCUUUUCAAGGAUCAGCUGAACUUAUCUGAAACAAAAUACCCUUUGGAUCAUUUUAAGACCUUUAAUGAAUUUUUCAUUCGAGAGUUGAAGCCUGGUGCAAGACCUAUUGCCUUCAUAGAUCGUGAUGAUAAUGCAGUCUGUGGUGCUGAUUCUCGUCUAAUGGCUUUUAAAAAUGUUGAGGAAAGCACUAGAAUCUGGAUCAAGGGUCGAAGGUUUUCUAUUAAAGGCCUAUUAGGAAAUGAUGUUUCUGCCACUCCUUUCAUUGGGGGAGCAUUGGUGAUAUUUCGGUUGGCUCCUCAGGAUUAUCAUCGUUUCCAUUUACCAGUUUCGGGGACCGUUGAGAGAUUUGUUCCUAUACCUGGGUCCUUAUACACUGUUAAUCCAAUUGCUGUAAAUAGCCUGUGUGAUGUCUUUACGGAGAACAAAAGAGUUGUGUCUAUAAUUUCAACUGCAGCUUUUGGAAAGGUAGCUUUUGUUGCUAUUGGAGCAACAAUGGUUGGCAGCAUUACUUUUACUAGGGAGGAAGGUGACUACGUUCAGAAGGGCGAGGAGUUUGGCUACUUCUCAUUUGGUGGAAGCACUGUAAUUUGUGUCUUUGAGAAGGACGUAAUCAAACUGGAUGACGAUCUCCUAGACAAUAGUAUGCGUUCACUUGAGACUUUGGUACGGGUAGGAAUGACACUAGGUGUAUCCACCAAAACUGACGGACGAUAAAGCUAUCGGCUACCAAUUCUUUACCUGCUUCAGGGUAUUCAGAGGAGCGUACAACUCCUAUGUCCUUGCACCAGAGGUAGUAAGAAUCGAGUUCAUCGAAUUGUUUUGAUAUCCGGCAGAAAAUUUCAUGGACUUUGAUACAGUCUGAGCCUGGAUAUUUUUCACCCGAGAGAAGUUAAUAAAUAUAUUGGACAAAGAGUAUUGUUCUCUUUGACAGUGUCAGAUAUAUUCCUAAGGAUUCGUUUUUAAAAGAUAUAUCCUUUGCCACAAAAUACUUGCAACAUUUUCUUUUUCAAGUCGUAAGACUUGCAAUUAAGCCAUGUAUGAUAUUGAUAACGAGAUUAUUGUAGAAUGUAUAAUACUUGUGCGUGGAAAAGUACCUAUGUAACAACUUAAUGUCUCUUACCUCACGCCUUCUCUUUCAUCAUUCUAAAUUGUAUGACAAUCUACUUGUAAAUCAGAGUUUUUUCUUGUCUGAGCUGAAUAUAGUAUAAGACACUUCGGAGUGACUUCAA